rnacentral:rRNA from 1 species
GACGAACGCUGUCGGCGUGCCUAACACAUGCAAGUCAAGGGAUCUUCGGAUCACUGGCGAACGGGUGAGUAACGCGUGGGUAACCUGCCCUUAUCACAGACAUAACCAUUGGAAACGAUGGCUAAUAUCUGAUGAGGCACUUGUGUCAAAGUUUUACACGGAUAAGGAUGGGCCCGCGUCUGAUUAGCUAGUUGGUGAGAUAAUAGCUCACCAAGGCUACGAUCAGUAGCUGGUCUGAGAGGACGAUCAGCCACACUGGAACUGAGACACGGUCCAG